GGUACAUUUUCGGCGCAGUGUCACUCGACCAGUGAGCUAUUACGCACUCUUUAAAUGAUGGCUGCUUCUAAGCCAACAUCCUGGUUGUCUAAGCAACGCCACAUCCUUUUCCACUUAACGGAUAUUUGGGGACCUUAGCUGGUGGUCUGGGCUGUUUCCCUCUUGACUACGGAUCUUAUCACUCGCAGUCUGACUCCCGGACAACAAGGUGAGUGUAUUCAAGGCAGAUGGAAUUCGUGGUGUAGCGGUGAAAUGCUUAGAUAUCACGAAGAACUCCGAUUGCGAAGGCAGUCUGCUGGGUUACAACUGACGCUGAGGCUCGAAAGUGCGGGUAUCAAACAGGAUUAGAUACCCUGGUAGUCCGCACAGUAAACGAUGAAUGCUCGUCCUUGGCGAUAUACGGUCAGGGACCAAGCGAAAGCAUUAAGCAUUCCACCUGGGGAUACGCGGCAACGGUGAAACUCAAGGAAUUGACGGGGCCGCACAAGCGAGGAACAUGUGGUUAAUUCG
rnacentral:rRNA from 1 species